CGGGGGCUUCUCUGUGAGGUCACAGUCCUGCCUGCUCUGCUUGCACUGCUGAGUGGGUCAGGUGGAGCCAGGACAGGCAGCUGCCGCUCUUCUCUCCAAGAUGCCUGAAUGAGGGGCCACGAAGCCUGAGACAUCGGACACAUUGGAAAAAGGAAAGUGAAGUCACUCAUCCAAAAGGGUUAAGAAAAGUCACGACAGCAUUAAAAAGACAUAAAGAAAAUGGAUUUCAAGACAGGAAUCCAGGAAAACACAGAAAAGAAAGGUUGCCCCGUGUCCAACACAGCUGAUGGUUUUGGAGAGAGGAAAAAAGACAGGAUUCACUAAUCAAAUGCAGAGCGUAUACGACAGGGAUGUUCAACAGAACGAGAAAAGGUUGUGAAAAAGAGUUUCUAUCAUUAAAGAUUUGAGAGGUCUAACAAUUACGGAAAAUGGCAUUACUAGCAAUCCUGAAAUAGAUUCUGGUAAACAAUAAAUAAAACAUGUGAAGGCGGCUUUUCAGAACCAAAGGAACACAAACCACAGCUCACCGCACUCAGAGGAGCACGGGCACAAGCGGCGCGUGAUGUAAUGAGGAGAAAUAAACGCGAUGGCGAAGG